GAUGAACGCUGGCGGCGUGCCUAAUACAUGCAAGUCGAGCGAACAGACGAGAGUGCUUGCACUCUCUGACGUUAGCGGCGGACGGGUGAGUAACACGUGGGUAACCUACCUAUAAGACUGGGAUAACUUCGGGAAACCGGAGCUAAUACCGGAUAAUAUUUAGCUUCGCAUGAAGCAAUAGUGAAAGACGGUUCUGCUGUCACUUAUAGAUGGACCCGCGGUGUAUUAGCUAGUUGGUGAGGUAACGGCUCACCAAGGCAACGAUACAUAGCCGACCUGAGAGGGUGGUCGGCCACACUGGGACUGAGACACGGCCCAGACUCCUACGGGAGGCAGCAGUAGGGAAUCUUCCGCAAUGGACGAAAGUCUGACGGAGCAAUGCCGCGUGAGUGAAGAAGGUUUUCGGAUCGUAAAACUCUGUUGUAAGGGAAGAACAAGUACGUUAGUAACUGAACGUACCUUGACGGUACCUUACCAGAAAGCCACGGCUAACUACGUG
rnacentral:rRNA from 1 species